CUCCCUGGGGUGUGCGUCAGCGGGUUAAAGUCCCUGAGCCGAUAUGUUUACCUUAGGAAGUCGCCUUCUGACUAUUGAGCAUGCUCGGCCCGUACCGAGAAGCCUACGGUUGGAUCCAGAUUUCCGCCUUGAACCUUUUGGGUUCAAGGGCCACGACCUGCAACGGCACCACCGGGGUU
rnacentral:other from 1 species